CCUACGGGGGGCUGCAGUGAGGAAUAUUGGUCAAUGGGCGCAAGCCUGAACCAGCCAUCCCGCGUGCAGGAAGACGGCCCUAUGGGUUGUAAACUGCUUUUCCAGGGGACGAAUAGUUUCUACGUGUAGAGACCUGACGGUACCUUGGGAAUAAGCAUCGGCUAACUCCGUGCCAGCAGCCGCGGUAAUACGGAGGAUGCAAGCGUUAUCCGGAUUCAUUGGGUUUAAAGGGUGCGUAGGCGGAUUAAUAAGUCAGCGGUGAAAUCCUACAGCUUAACUGUAGAACUGCCAUUGAUACUGUUAGUCUUGAGUUUGGUUAAGGUAGGCGGAAUGUGUAAUGUAGCGGUGAAAUGCUUAGAUAUUACACAGAACACCAAUUGCGAAGGCAGCUUACUGGACCGACACUGACGCUGAGGCACGAAAGCGUGGGGAUCGAACAGGAUUAGAUACCCCAGUAGUC
rnacentral:rRNA from 1 species